rnacentral:rRNA from 1 species
UCGCAUAGUUAGUGGCGGUGUAACGGACACCAAGACGACGAUGCGUAGGGGUUCUGAGAGGAAGGUCCCCCACACUGGUACUGAGACACGGACCAGACUCCUACGGGAGGCAGCAGUGAGGAAUAUUGGUCAAUGGGCGGGAGCCUGAACCAGCCAAGUCGCGUGAGGGAUGACGGCCCUAUGGGUUGUAAACCUCUUUUGCCGGGGAGCAAAGUGCCGCACGUGUGCGGUUUGGAGAGUACCCGGAGAAAAAGCAUCGGCUAACUCCGUGCCAGCAGCCGCGGUAAUACGGAGGAUGCGAGCGUUAUCCGGAUUUAUUGGGUUUAAAGGGUGCGUAGGCGGACGCUUAAGUCAGCGGUAAAAUUGCGGGGCUCAACCUCGUCGAGCCGUUGAAACUGGGUGCCUUGAGUGGGCGAGAAGUACGCGGAAUGCGUGGUGUAGCGGUGAAAUGCAUAGAUAUCACGCAGAACUCCGAUUGCGAAGGCAGCGUACCGGCGCCCAACUGACGCUGAAGCACGAAGGCGUGGGUAUCGAACAGGAUUAGAUACCCUGGUAGUCCACGCAGUAAACGAUGAAUGCUAGUUGUCCGGGGCGAUUGAGUUCUGG